rnacentral:rRNA from 1 species
AGAGUUUGAUCAUGGCUCAGGAUGAACGCUAGCUACAGGCUUAACACAUGCAAGUCGAGGGGCAUCAGUUUGGUUUGCUUGCAAACCAAAGCUGGCGACCGGCGCACGGGUGAGUAACACGUAUCCAACCUGCCUCAUACUCGGGGGAUAGCCUUUCGAAAGAAAAGAUUUAAUAUCCGAUAGCAUAUAUUUCCCGCAUGGGUUUUAUAUUAAAGAAAUUCGGUAUGAGAUGGGGAUGCGUUCCAUUAGUUUGUUGGCGGGGUAACGGCCCACCAAGACUACGAUGGAUAGGGGUUCUGAGAGGAAGGUCCCCCACAUUGGAACUGAGACACGGUCCAAACUCCUACGGGAGGCAGCA